UCUCUUGUUCUCCACAUUCAUUUUUUUCUCUCCCACGAGCUCCCAGCAACCUUAUCCUUACGCACCUGUGGCUCUCAUGUUUUGCCCAUCCAUCCCUUUCUUCUGUCCCAGCGGCAUCUCCUGGGCCGAGCCGCGGCGAGGGCGCACGGCGGCCUCAUGGUAGCACCUUCUGGGGCGGCCCCGGCGAGGGCGUGCGGCAUCCUAGCACGGGCGCGGCGGCGGACCCCAGGGGCGAGGCGGUGCCCCUGCGUUCCUGGGCUUCACGGUGGCCCGUCGCAAGGAUCCGGCCAAGUUCGUCAUGGAUGCCGAGAUCGACGUGGUCGACGAGGAAGCCCGGCCGACCUCGCCUGGGCGUGCAUGCUCAUCCUCAAGGCAGCCGUGCUAGCGCGAAGCCGAUCUCAGGGUCAAAGGCCAGCCGGCCAGGAGAGCGACGCGGCACGGGUUCCGCAGCGGAGCGAGACGACGCUGAAGAGGCCAGGAAGGCGACGCGCGCGCGGGCGGUGAUCCGGCGGCGAGGCACGGGCGUGCUGCGGCGGCACGGGUUCGGGCUGCGGGCAUCUCAGGAGUCAUGCGUGGGGGAGCAGGCCUGCUUGUGGGUGUGGAGGCCGUGCUACAGGCGUGAGGAGGAGCUGCUAACGCUUGGUCUGCAGCUGGCAGAGGAAGCAGUGGCUGCGGGGGCGCAAACCCAAUCCUCUUUAUGCCAUCAGUAGAGCACGUGCUUGGAUCAUUCUGGGUAAACAUUGUGGCCAUGAAUCGUAGGUGAGCUACCUCAUUGCUGGGAUCAUUUUCGAAAUAUGUUCCACACUGUAUACUAAGCAACUUUUUGUAUUUUAGCACAGGCAUUAACCUGAUCAUAGACAGGCAAUAAUAUUUUAUUAAUUAGGCAAAGUACCAUUUAUGUGUUGGCUAAUUUAUGGGUACUUCUAAUGUGUUUUUUUGCUCCCAUUUGAUAUGAUUUGCAUAUCAAUUUUGUGUAGAUUUUGCAAUAUGCUACUCGGCAUACUAGAUUAGUUCUAAUUAUUUUGUAGCUCUUAUUUGGUUGGAUUGACACAAUAAUAGCUACACCUUUUUGUUCGUCAGCCUACAUCGUUCCACAAACCUUUAUCUCUGUUUUGGAUUAGCAAAUCAGCAGCUUAGCGUUUAAGCUUUGAAUUGCCUUUUUAGGACAACAUCAGUUUUUAGGCUCCCCACAUGUAAAACUAAGCACAAGCUUUUAAACUUUUCACUUUGUUUGAUGACAGCAACUUCACCACUAUAAAAAUCAGCUAAGUUUUGCUGUCUUACAUGCUAUUUCUGAACAUGUCUUGUUUUUUUGACAAGUAUUUCUGAACAUGUCUUACAUGUUCAAUAACUCUGAAUAAAUAUAUGCUUACCUCUUUUAAUGUAAUUGCUUAAGCACACAUACUUAUUCUUCUAUGAAAAUAAAUUGUUAAGAGAACUAGAGUCGGCUGAGGGGCUGAGGUUUGCAUAAGUCUUUACCUGGAGCCACAAAAAUGCUAUGUAGACAACUUAUCCUAAAUGAACAUGUAAGUUAUUCAUUUUAGUUUCAGCAUUUUUUCUGGUCUGAUUUAGCAUUUUCAUGUGUAUAUUUCUACAAGAGAAAUGAACAUCUCACCUUGGUUCUUGGAUUGUUAUUUUGCUGUUUUAUAUCAUAACUUGCUUUAUCCCUAUCCAUCACGUUUUGUAUUGGUAUGUACUGAUAGAAAGGGUCCUAGUUAAUGUGAUUGCAUGAGAUUAUUUUAUUUUUCAUCCCAAAUAGAUGUAUGCCAUGUGAUGUUCAGUUCUUAUGAAUUGGGAUCGUCGGCUGUGUUGUCACCAUUUCAAUAAUCGACAUAGAUUUUUUCUUACCUAUUGUGUGGUACUAGACAAAUAAACCAUCACCUAGUGUGAAAUCUGAAUUUUUAAAUUAUAAUUAUUUAGGAUCAUGUUCAUCCUGCAAUUUGUGGAUGUUCCAUUUUUUAUGUUAUGGAGAAGCAAUGUGAUAUGUUCGUGGCAUCAACAAACGGCCUUCUUGAUCUCUUUUAUUUUCCAGUUCCUUUCUAGAUUAAACUCACAUUCAUCCAUCCCCUUUUUUCCUGAGUCUAUUUUUCUGCAUGCAUUUUUGGCUAUUUCUGCAUGGUCAUUGGCAUUUCCCAUUUCUGCAUGGCAGUUUUUUUUAUCUUGCAGACCUGAAUCUGAUUGCAUGCAUGUUCAUCAUUAGCAUUUUAGUGAAUUUUAAUAGGCAUUUAAAUACUAUCUAGCUAGCAUUUAAAAUGUUCACACAAAGCAAUUUAGAAAUAUUUACGCAUUUUGUCGCUUAGUGCAUAUGUGUUGCAUGCAACUUUUUUCUCAUUAAGCAACAAUAUUAUUUCGGAUUAAGCAAAACAAUACAUUUCAGCUAACCGCUUUAGGUACAACAGCAAAAUUUAAAUUGCUUUUUGUUCAGAGCUUACCUCUUGUGAAUUGGCUAAUUAGUAAGUUGGUUAAACAUUGCAUUAUCAGUAAAAAUACGGCCUUGUUCUUGGAAUGUUCUAGGAAUAUAGUUGUUGGAGGGCAUUACAGUGUAAAUUACGGGGAUUGGUAGGUGAAUCGUCACCUAUAAAUAACCGGAUCAUUGUACAUUGAUGGGACACAUUGAAUAGAUGGAGAGAAUUCUGCCUGAUUGUGUGAA